rnacentral:misc_RNA from 1 species
UAGGACCGACGAAAGCCAC